GGGAGAGCAUGACCGUGGACCAGGGGACAGAGUCGGUGCAGAGGGAAGAGUGGCAGAGAGCCGAGGUGCGGGAGGAGGACUGCGGGGCCAGGCUGUGUACACGGCGCCUCUGAGGAGGGCUCAUGUCCCUCCAGAGGCGGAAGGUGGCCUUCCCGGCAGUUUGGCUGAGAUGGCCCUUGAAAGAGGUGUAGGGUUGGCCAUCGUUGCUUGAUUGUCUCAAAUAAGUAGAACAGGAAAAUCAAGUCCCGCCCGCACACACGCUCACCCCAGGGUUUUCUUUUGCAGCCUUUUUUUUCCUUUUGGAAUCUGCCUCAGGUCAGGCCGGAGGCGUUGCUGCAUUUGUCAGCAGUGUUGUUCCAUUCGUUGCCACCAUGUAGACUCUGGGUCCCCCCCUCCCCACUGCCUGGUCCCAAAUGGAGGGGGGUCGGCGGGAACGCUGAGAUGUGUAAUGUCACAAUGGGACACCAAGUUCCUGCCCAUCAGGUGACCUGAGUCAGUGUUUGCCAUUCACCGUCAGCCUAAAAGUCAUAAACAAAGCCAGGUUCUGGAAGCCGUGAUGAAAGCCACACCUCGAAGGGGAAUUUCCAUGUUUGCUGGCGUAGAAGGGACGCCUGCCCGUGGAUUAGGUUGGUCUUUUCAGGCAGCCCGUGGACUAGCGCCAGCAGUAACCAUCAUUAGCCCGCAACGAUGUGCGAUGUGAAACAUUCGGCAUCGGACGGAUGCACUCGUCCAAGAGCUAAUAAAUCAGCAUGGGUCUCGUUAGAGAAUGGCAGUUAUAUGGAGAAAGUUUGCCUGUGCAACGUGUGCUGAAAUUUAGUGGAGUCAACGAGGACCCGCAGGGUGUGGGGGUCAGGCUCCCCCCAAAAGCCGCGACGCCUCAAGCAUGCUCUGUAUCUUCAGAGGGUCAGGCUUGUCUAGUCUAGCUUUUAGAAACAGUCCCAGUUUAAGACUCUGCAUUAGUAUUUAUAAGCCUGUUAGCAAGAAGAAUGAAACCACUUUAAAUAAUACAUUAAUGGAUGGUUUGGUCUAGUUCCUCCCCAAAUCAUUUAAGGCCUUACAAAGACUUCGUUCUUGUUCAUUGAAGAGUGGCUAAUGAGAAGCGCUAAGAAUGAUCAAUUAUGUAAGUUCUACAUUAAUACGUUUCUCUUUCUUUCUUUCUUUUUUUUUUGAAUACUCAUUUUGAAAACAAGGCUAGACUGCUUCUUGGCCACCAUCAACCAGGCUUCUAACCUUUUGAAACGGACACGGACAGAGCGGGUCCCAUUUGUCCUGCUCUCCCAACCAGUGUCCCCCAGUGCUGUGUUAGAGACAGCACGUGGGACUGCGUGGAUCAUUGGGCUGGCCCAGGGUGGCGUUUCCCACGGAGUUACGGUGACAGGAUGACAUGCUGAAUGCAGAGUCGUAACUCCUGGCAAGGCUGGGGCACGAUCCUUAGUGAAAACGCUGGCCAGGGUGGACGGGCUAGAGCGUUCUGCUUCCGUCUCCACCUCCGUUCGUCGGGGCCAGUGCGGUGUCUUACUGGUCAUGUUUUAUUGGGUUUGUCUUUCCUCCCCUUGCCACUUCAAACCAGUCCUGGGGUGGCUGCACAGUCAGGGCUUGGCGGCUUCGUGGGAAAGCCCUGGCUUCCUGACCCACUGACGGCGGCCUUCACCCGUCGAGCGCUCUCUCCCCUUUCCCAGAUCCUCUCCGUCUCUUCCCAGGUGCCCGACUCCUGCUCCAUCCUUGGGGCCCGACUCAAAUCGCACUUGCGUUCCAGGGAACCGGCUCCCGUGGCCUCCUUCCUCCACGCGGCAGAGCGGCUAUCCUCCGCUGGUUUCUGUUGUAUCCAGCGGCUCUUGUCACCAGGGGCUUGUAGGUUGUUACGAGUGGGAAGAUCUUUGUCCCCCUGGGAGCUUUUGGAGCCUGGGGACCAGGCGUUUCUCACUCGGAAUCUCCGGUGCCUCUGCCGGAUGUUGUUACCACGGUUUACCGUUGUCACCGGCAAGUGUCCAUGGUGGGGAGAGCGGCUGUGAUGGGUUUGCUGGUAACGUGCCUUCUGUUUUGGUCCUAGAUCUUUGUAGCCUUUUCUUGAUGUAAAAUGACCUGUACAAUUUCUUUUCUUUCUCUUUAUUGGGUUUUAUAUAUAUGGGGACCUUUGAACCUGUAAAGCACAUUCAUCUAACAUUAUGCUUAAAAACAUUAAUGUGUACCUAACCUGUUUCAUUUUAUUUUUUUGUUUUUGCUUUUUUAGGGCCGCACGUGCGGCACAUGGAGGUGCCCAGGCGAGGGGUCGAAUCGGAGCUUUAGCGACCGGCCUACGCCACAGCCACAGCAACUUGGGAUCCGAGCCGAGUCUGCGACCGACACCACAGCUGGCAACAACACUGGAUCCUAACCCACUGAGUGAAACCAGGGAUCGAACCCAUAUCCUCACGGAUCCCAGUUGGGUUUGUUAACCGCUGAGCCACGACGGGAACUCCAGUGCCUAACCUGUUUUAAGAUGGGUGGGUGUCUUGUGAAAAGCAAUGACAGGGAGUUCCCGUCGUGGCUCAGUGGAAACGAAUCUGACCAGUAUCCAUGAGGAUGCAGGUGUGAUUCCCUGGCCUCGCUCGGUGGGUUAUGGAUCCGGCAUUGCUCCACGGCAACACCAGAUCUGAGCUGCAUCUGCGACCCACACCACAGCUCAUGGCAACACCGGGUCCUUAACCCACUGAGCGAGGCCAGGGAUCAAACCUGCAUCCUCAUGGAUGCUGGUCAGAUUGGUUUCUGCUGAGCCACGAUGGGAACUCCUAGAAACUUUUCUUUUCUUUUUUUUUUUUUUGGCCUUUUGUCUUUUUAGGGCCACACCUGCAGCAUAUGGAAGUUUCCAGUCUAGGGGUCAAAUCGGAGCUACAGCUACUGGCCUACCAGCCACAACAACGAGAGAUGCGAGCUGAGUCUGAGAUCUACACCCCAGCUCACGGCAAUGCUGGAUCCUUAACCCACUGAGCAAGGCCAGGGAUCGAACCUGCCUCCUCAUGGAUGCUAGUCAAGUUCGUCAACCUCUGAGCCAGAUGGGAACUCUAGAAACUAUUUUCUUGAGAAGGCUUUCCUUUCUGUAUGGUAGUAAGCUUUCAUAAAUGGAGUAGGUGACUUUUUUUUUCCCAAAUGUGAGAAAAUACAAUGAAAAAAUUUAAACAAGGAAUUAUUUAUAUCCUACUUUGUAUUAGGUUUCUAAUUUGAAUGCUGAAGAUUCCUGAGGUUUCUGGGUGACCUGGACUUGAAGUAUUGACUGCUCCUGGUAUAGCCAGGUCCAUGGGCCUUCACUCCUUAUUCCCAUAAACAGAUGCCAGACAAUGUGCUCUCUUGGCAGUGGCUAGGAACGUACAUUCUAGAAAAUUCUUUCUAAGCACAGGAGUCCUUUUAUGUGUUGCUGUCAGAAGGCACAGCAAGCUCGCUCCACAGACCUUUGCCAUUUGCUCACUCGUUCAUUCCGCCGCUUUUGCUGACUGCCUGCUGUGUGCCCCGCGUAUGUCCAGGGGUCAGUAAAAGAUUUUCGCCCUGGGGGCAGUGAUGGGGGGCGUGGGAGUGGACUGGCUGAUGAACCGUAGCUGUAGCAAGUAAACCUUCUGGGUGUGAGAGGGUGAUACGGUCUCUGAAAAACUAGAAGCGUGGAUUGGGGUCGGGGUGGGAGGCAUGCAGUUCACAAAAGCUGGUCAGGGGGCGUCCCUGCGAGGAUGGAGGUGCAGGAAUUUUCACCGGAAGACGGAAGUGAUCAGCCAGAACAUCUUGGGGGAGCCGAGCUCUAGGCACAGGGAACCGCCGUGCCAUGCGGUGGCCCUUAGCCAGGGAAGUCACUGGGGCGUGGCUGGAGGAGAGGGCAGUGGGGGGGCACAUGAGGUCAGAGAGGUCGGGGGCCGGGCAGCUCUUUCCUGCGACCCAACACCCCUUCUCUUGGGGACCAUCCAGUCACCAGGGGCUGCUCAGGGCACCUGCUGCAUCUUCUCUUUCACAGUGCUUCUCACCUGGGGACACGUGGCAGUGUCGGGGAUGUGUUUUGAUUUUCACACAUGGAUGAGAGGAUGCUCCUGGCAUCUGGUGGGUUGAGGCCAGGAAUGCUGCCAAGCGUCCUGCAGCGGGCAGCCCCCUACGGCGAGAUGAACACAUCAGCAGUGCCGAGGGUGAGAAAUCCUGCUGUUUUUAUAUAGUUCAUCAGCUGUUGAAUGAUUUAGUUUGUCUUUGAAGACUUAAUAAAAAGAAAGCAUUAAGACGUCAUGGGAAGAGGUUAUCAAUCACGGUACCUGGUCAGAAUGCCAUCACAGUUGACAUUGAAGAUAUCGCUGGCUAUUUUCAUUCUCUGUGGAAGGGCUUCCAAAUCUUCCUUGUGCAUACACUUUCGUAAACUCGCGUGCUUUUGUGCAGCAGCUCCAAAAAAUAAUUUUGGGGGGCCACGCCUGCAGCAUGUUCCCAGGCUAGGGGUCCAAUCGGAGCUACACCUGCCGGCCUACACCACAGCCACAGCCACAUCAGAUCCGAGCCACAUCUUCGGCCUAUACCACAGCUCACAGCAACACCGGAUCCUUAACCCACUGAGCGAGGCCAGGGAUCAAAUCCACAGCCUCGUGGUUCCUAGUCGGAUUCGUUUUCCUCUGCGCCACAACAGGAAGUCUGAAAUCCCUGUAAUUUAGAUUUCUUCCUUUUUUCAAUGAGUUUUACACCUCUUUCUUCCCUCUGCACCUCUUUGCAUUUUUUUUUUUUUUUUGCUUUUUCAGGGCCGCACCUACAGCGUAUGGACGUUCCCAGGCUAGGGGUCAAAUUGGAGCUGCAGCUGCUGGCCUACACUACAGCCACAGCAACAUGGGAUUUGGGCUGCAUCUGCGAGCUGUACCACAGCUCACCAUGACCCUGGGUCCUUAACCCACUGAGCAAGGCCAGGGGUCAAACCCAAGUCCUCACUGAUGCUAGUCGGAUCUGUUACUAUUGGCCCGCAGCGGAAGCUCCUACAUAGUUAAUUUAUUUACCAAAAUUGAAUUCUAGUAUAUUCAUCGUUGGGAUAGAUGAAUGCUUUUGAUUAACUCAUGCACUUUAAAUUGGAUGUUGAAAUUCAUUUUAUUUUAGCAGUUAUGUGAUCAUUUUGACCUGCGUUCUGUCUUGAAACUAAGAUCUCUCAUUUUUGCAAGCAAGCAAGAUGUGUGAAUUAGUGUCUUGGCGUCUUUAUGUCGCAGACUAUGGGUGCAGGUCCCAGGGCAUGCGUUUAUAAAGGCGAGCUGCUACACCUCACGUUUCUUUCUGUGGAAACUAGAUUUUUCUCAGCCUCUCAGGGGCUGUUAGACUCUCAUGAAUUGAAUCCAGGUAAUUAAAGUCUCAGGAGACUGAUUUCUACAGAAACCAAUAUUUAUUUAUUAAGUGUUGGCUGCGCAUCAGCUGUUCUUUGACAUGGUCCCAGGGUUUCAAGGGCCUCCAGCACUAGCUGUGAAGACAGAAACAGUCUACUUAGAGUUAAUAAUGCACCACUUUGCAUGAUUGAAAACUGACAGCUGUAUAGUUCCAUUGAUUUAUGUUAUAAUUCUCAUCCUAUAGUAAUCUGCAUGUGAUAUGUUGUACACUAUGAAGUUACAGUUUUUGAUUUGUAUUGGUUUAAACCGUCAUGAUUAUUUUGAAGAAAUUAGGAGGAAGAAUAGUUUUAACAACAUUUACCCAGGGAGUUCCCGUCGUGGCCCAGCGGUCAUGAACCUGACUGGUGUUCCUGAGAACAGGGGUUCAAUCCCUGGCCUUGCUGAGUGGGUUAAGGAUCCAGUGCUCUGUUUCAGCUCCUGGCCUGGAAUCUUCCAUAUGCCGAGGGUGCGGCCCAAA
rnacentral:lncRNA from 9 species